CUACGGGCUGCUGCAGUGGGGAAUCUUAGACAAUGGGCGCAAGCCUGAUCUAGCCAUGCCGCGUGAGUGAUGAAGGCCUUAGGGUCGUAAAGCUCUUUCGCUGGGGAAGAUAAUGACGGUACCCAGUAAAGAAACCCCGGCUAACUCCGUGCCAGCAGGCCGCGGUAAUACGGAGGGGGUUAGCGUUGUUCGGAAUUACUGGGCGUAAAGCGCGCGUAGGCGGACUGUUAAGUCGGGGGUGAAAUCCCGGGGCUCAACCCCGGAACGGCCUUCGAUGCUGGCAGUCUGGAGUUCGAGAGAGGUGAGUGGAAUUCCGAGUGUAGAGGUGAAAUUCGUAGAUAUUCGGAGGAACACCAGUGGCGAAGGCGGCUCACUGGCUCGAUACUGACGCUGAGGUGCGAAAGUGUGGGGAGCAAACAGGAUUAGAUACCCGUGUAGUC
rnacentral:rRNA from 1 species